rnacentral:lncRNA from 1 species
GGACGGGCUUCUUGGUCUGGGUAAUGCCUUGGUUUUCGAUCCUUCUCUGCUACCGUGAGCCGAAAAAGAAUACGGGGCUGAGACCCAGAGGAAGGAGGGGGUAGCGGGCGAGAUAAGGACAAGCACCGAAGAAGACUUCGAAACAACGGCAUCGAUGUGUGUAGAAUUUCCUCCUAUCUCAAUUUUUGUAUUUGGUGCUCUGAUGCCUGCUACCAUCGUUUCGGCGCCUCUCUUUUUCCUUUUAAAUUUAUUCUAACUUCAUAUCAAAAAGAGAAGAAUGACAGUGAUUAUUUUAGAUUAUUUUCUUCUUGAUGAUUGCCUGAACUCAAGCAGGUGCACCCAACAUUUGGUUUGAUCGCUCAUACUAAGAUCAAGUUGGGUGCACGAUUUUAAAACUGGGCAGCCCAACAUUGGAAGCUAGAAC